rnacentral:rRNA from 1 species
AUUAGAUACCCUGGUAGUCCACGCCGUAAACGAUGAUUACUAGGUGUCGGUGGGUAUGGACCCAUCGGUGCCGCAGCAAACGCAGUAAGUAAUCCACCUGGGGAGUACGUUCGCAAGAAUGAAACUCAAAGGAAUUGACGGGGACCCGCACAAGCGGUGGAGCAUGUGGUUUAAUCCGAAGCAACGCGAAGAACCUUACCAAGUCUUGACAUCUGGAUGACGAGGACUUAAUCGUCCUUUCUCUUCGGAGCAUCCAAGACAGGUGGUGCAUGGUUGUCGUCAGCUCGUGUCGUGAGAUGUUGGGUUAAGUCCCGCAACGAGCGCAACCCUUAUCUUCAGUAGCCAGCGAGUGAAGUCGGGCACUCUGGAGAGACUGCCGGGGAUAACCCGGAGGAAGGUGGGGAUGACGUCAAAUCAUCAUGCCCCUUAUGAUUUGGGCUACACACGUGCUACAAUGGCGUAAACAGAGGGAAGCGAGCCCGCGAGGGGGAGCGAAUCCCAAAAAUAACGUCCCAGUUCGGAUUGUAGUCUGCAACUCGACUACAUGAAGCUGGAAUCGCUAGUAAUCGCGGAUCAGAAUGCCGCGGUGAAUACGUUCCCGGGUCUUGUACACACCGCCCGUCACACCAUGGGAGUCGGAAAUGCCCGAAGUCUGUGACCCAACCGCAAGGAGGGAGCAGCCGAAGGCAGGUCGGAUGACUGGGGUGAAGUCGUAACAAGGUAAC